rnacentral:lncRNA from 1 species
UUUUUUUUUUUUCCUUUAAAAACACAGACAUUGAUUUUUUUUUUCCUCUCUCUCUGAAAUUGUCUCAACUUGUGUUCCUGUCAGAAUUCCUGACAUACUAGAUCAUAAAGAUUACAGCAAGGCAUCUUUUAUAUCUGUGUGUGUGUGUGUGUGUGUGUGUGUGUGUGUGUGUGUUUUCUCCAUAUAUUUAACCUUGGGUUACAUGUGUAAUUUUUCAAACAUUCCCUUAUAAUCAGUUUUGUUGUCUGUACUUGUUGGCUGUGAAGGCCUCUGGAAAAGUUGUUUAAAACACAGGACUCAGGGGUUUCUUGAUACAUAUCCUUUUCACCCAAAUGAAUCUCUGGAUAAAAGUUAUUUUUAAAACUGUUUAAAAAUUAAGUGACCUAAAGCAAAUCUUAUGUUCUUUUUGAACCUUAUGUUAAAAGUAGGAAUGUAUAUCUGCUAAUGGCCAGGAUUUCAGAAUAUCCAGAAAUAUCCAAGCAGUGUUCCGUAGGUCAUUGACUAGAGACAUUCAUGGUAUCCUCCAUAGAGUUUCUGAGGCUGCUUGAUUUUGCACAUUCCAGAUUGUCACCAAAGUCUAAAAAGAAUUAGUAUGACUGGACUAUAUUUGCAUUUAGAGUGUUAGCAACCCUCCAGAGUAUACACACUGGGCUAUUUAUGAAGCAACUUCAGCUGACAGCUGAAGAUCAGAAGAUUCUAUUUUGGGAAGUGUCCUAAAUGUGAGGUUCUGUGGUGAAAAAAUUUAGUGCCCUACAGAUAAGAAUACUUCAAACAGGAAGCAGUGGUAAUUUAUUGCUUCCUGUGUAAGUAUUCUUAUCACUAUGAUAAGCUUUAGGUUUCAGUUCUGUUUUCCUGAUCCCAAGAUUUCUUUUCUUGUAAUCAGCACCUAUAAGAGGAUUAAAAAUGAAAAAGAAGAAGAAGAAGAAGAAGACAAUGACAGCAAAUGUAGGGGGAUGGGUAGAGAAUUUACUAGCAUGAUUUUUCCUAUCUGGAGAAGACUCUUAUAUUUCCUACCACUCAAAAGUAUUUGGUAGGCUAAGAGAAAAACUGUUUACUACUGUUGGCUCAUUUACUUGGCUCCAUCUGUUAUGUGUGUGCAUAUGGCAUCAAUUCCAUGUUAGUGUAAUGCAAGGCUGGGUUGACUAUUGCUCAUGGAAGGUCGAAUAAUGCACAUGACUAUUGUACAUGAUAGAACCAGCAUGGAUAAGAAAAGAGGAGAUGGGAAUUUUAUUCCUGAUUCUGACAUUCCCUGGGAUCUACCAUUCUUUGACCUGGUUUUCUGGCUCAGAAAAUGAGAGGUAGUACUGUUUCCCCAGUCUGUCUAAUAGUGUUGUUCCAAGGAGCAAGUGUGGGAAUAUAUGGAAGUGCAGUUAUAAACUGUGAAUUUCGGGAUCCCUGGGUGGCGCAGCGGUUUGGCGCCUGUCUUUGGCCCAGGGCGCGAUCCUGGAGACCCGGGAUCGAAUCCCACAUCGGGCUCCCGGUGCAUGGAGCCUGCUUCUCCCUCUGCCUGUGUCUCUGCCUCUCUCUCUCUCUCUCUGUGACUAUCAUAAAUAAAUAAAAAUUAAAAAAAAAAUAAACUGUGAAUUUCAUCUUGAGCCUGAAGCUUAGAGUGGUUUCACUCAAUUCCGACCACUCCCCUUUCGGCCUUAGAAAAUAAGGGUGCUUUUGGUUCAUGUUCUUUCCUUAUUAAAAAUAUUUUUCAAAUUCAGUCAGCUUCCUAGAUUUCUUGGCUGGACGACUAUAUCGUGAUUGAGUGCCUGAAGAGAAAGAUGCAUCAACAUUGACUCUCUAUUUCAGAUAUGUGUUUCGUGAAUUAGGAGUGUGUCCUACUGUUAAAUUCAAGGGAACUGGGUUGCGUUUAUUAGCUUGGCAUAGAAAAAUCAAAGUUCUACACAUGGGCUAAAUUAUUUUAUAAGCUGUAAGUAUAAAUCAGGAUUAAAGACUGAAAUGUAUUUAUUAAAUUUUAAAAGGAAGUACGCACAUGCAUUUUAUAGUUCCUAUGGAUUUAAUUAUAUACUAAAUGCAGAAAAUAAAAGUAUUACUGGGUAGCACUGAAUGUUUUCUUCCAAAAUUUUUGUUGAAAAGUGUCUUUACUCUUAAGUCUGUGCCCUCUUUGUUAAAUCAUAACAUCUCUUAGUUUACUCUUGCUCUUACAAAGUGACUUUGGUAGUGUUGCCUGCGUUGUGAUUUUAAAGGGUACCAUGUUUCUAUGUGAAUAUUCAGCUGUGAGCUCAUUCUUGGUCCUGACUUGGCAUUUGUCAAGGUCACAGCUUUAUGGCAAGGAUGAUAAUAGGGUGUAUGCAUGGCUUGUAGAGGAGUUCCCAGUUGGGUCCACUUGUCUGUGCUCAAGUGUGUGAUAUUAGCCAGCUAUCCAAAACAAUUAUUUCAGUGGCUCGCUAGGCUCAUUUGUGUUCCAGAAUUAUUUCAGAGCACUGGCUCCUUGCUCAAGGAAAAAAAAAAAUAGAGAUAAGAUGAGAAGAACAAACGGGGGUGGGUUGGAGGAGGAGUAAAAUUCAUAUGACAGUUUAGUAGAUAGCCAUUGAUGAUAGCUAAUUAAUGAUUUGUAAUUACCCAGGGGUCAGAAGUUAGACUAUUAGUUAUUUUGCUAUUUUGCUUUCCAGGUGGAAUGGAUUAUGUGAACCUUAGAUGAAUCUUUGAAUUUAUUAUGAAAAAUAUUAGGCCUACAUGUGGCCUUAAAAAUGGUAACACUUAAAACAUUCAUUCUGUAGAUAAAUAAAUUCAGGUCCAGAGAAGUUAAGCAAAUUGCUCAAGAUGAUACAGCUGUCUUACGGUAGAAUCAGCAAAGAAUCCUAAUAUCUCUUCAGCUUGAUGUUUUUCCCCCUACGCUAUACUGCGUAAAGAUGUUUAUUCAUAAAUGCUUUGUCAAUUUUAUAUUUUUGUAUAAAGUGUUUUUCAUGUUACAUACAUAUAUAUGUGUACAGAGAGUAUGUGUGUAGAUUUAAUUGUUUAUUUAUUUGUUCCUCAAAUAGUUAAAUGAUGCCAGGCACUGUUUUGGGUGCUAGGAGUAUAGCUAGGAAUAAGAGUCAGUGUCUGCCCUCAUGGAGUGUAUAUUCGAGCGAGACUGACAAUAAACAGACACAUUUAUUUCAGAUAGUGGUUUAGUUUUUGCUUUUGAAGUAGUUUUGAAAAAUUGUAUUGGACAAGAAGCAUCCGGAUUUUCAAAGAUAUGUUUGGAAAAAGAAUUGUAAAUUUAUGAGAAUAAUUAAAGGAUUUAAAAGAUUGCUUGUUAAAUGCAGCUUCCUCUUUUAUAUGCAGAGUGUUUGAUUAUUAGCCCUCCAUGAAAAUAAUUUAUAAGCACUGGUAAUUAACUGCCUGUAUCCAUGACUUAGUCAACCCUAUCCAUAAAGUUUUAAAAAUGUAUUUAUGACUACUAGGACUUUAUUAGUGCUCUUUUUUCAAACCUCCUGUUUCCUUUCUGAGGGUGGAAGUCCUUGCCUGCUCUGCUCAUGUAGAAGAGCAGAUAGGAGAGCCCUGAAAAUGAGGAUGCUGUUUUAUAUAACUUGGAAGGCCAUACCUUAAGUAAUAGUAAGGCAAUCAAUGAAUGAUAUGUCUUAACGAAGACAAAUAUCUGCUUGUUAUCAGUGAAUAGCCCUAGUUCAUUCUGAAAAGUUGGAAGAAUCUUAUUUCAUUGGUUUAUGACUUAUUUUUAUAUGUACCUGUUUUCCUGCAGUCAUAGAUAAAAAGUUUUCUGAAAAUAAUGACAUAGGAAGGCUUCCCUACUAUCUCCCUGUAGCAAAGAUCCCUUUGCUAAACUACUUUGAUGUUGUAAUAAUAGGUUGAUAAGCUAUUACUUUUAAAAUGGAAGUUAAGUCUUGAGCCUCCUGUGAAACUCUCAGGAAGCCUAACAUGGCAUGUCCUACAUUCUAGGUCAUCCAUCCAUAAACUGGGUGGCUGGAAGGACAGGCCUAGAAAUGGCUUUCUGGUCCCAUGAGGUUCUGGGGGCCUGUAUUGUUUGAUGUGGCGUUUGGACCUUCUGAAGAUCUUCUGGGCAGCUUGGCUUGAGCUUCCUUUUCUUUUUGGUUACUGAUCACUUGAACCUGGACUGUCCUGAUCUCAGUGCCCAUGUCUUGCAUGGCCAGUGUCCAUUCUUGGCUGGGCAAGAGCUGCCAUCCUAAUUGUCUUGUUUCAUUGUUUGUUCACGACUCUUCUGAGUAUGCUCAGGUGAUUGCAAUCUUUGGCAUGUCUUCUGUGUGUGCUUUAAGAGCAUACUUGUGGCCACAGAGCAAUUUGGUGAUAGCGAUCGUGUUGAAUUAGAAUUCUAGGAUCAGUUUCUAGGUUCUGAUCGUCUUUAUACUUGCAUGAACAAUUUUGAAAUAUAUUGCAUACAGAAUGUGAGUGGUCCCAUCAUGCAAACAAGUGUUACGACAUUGUUGGAAAAUAGGUUAUGGAUAGGUGCAUCUAUCCUGCCUCAGUCAGUUCUGGUAACUUUAAAGAAGAAUCAGAAUUUUGGUGAAUUUCUGAAGCCAUCCAUAUUGAUCUGAUAACAGCCAAAGCCCAGUUUCAAAUGGAUUUUAAGGUCAGCAAAUAUAGAGGAGUACUCAAGGCAAUCUUACCUAUCAGCUCUUGACAUACUCUGUAAUACACAAACACCUAAAUCUUUGAUUAGCCCUUUGGCUUUGGUUUGGUUUGGUUUAUUUUCAUCUUAUCAGUGGUUAUUUGCUUAUUAUAUUCAUAUUAUUUCAUAAAAUAUAUUUGUAUCAAUGCAACAAACAUAUGCCCAUUCAUUCAUUUCAUAGGUGUUUCUUUGGUCAGCACCUACUGUGAACCCAGCUACUUUUUUUUGAAGAUGAAGAGUCUAGAAAAUUAGGCAGAGUUAGGUUUUUAUCAUCACGGAAUAUAAUAUUAUCCUAGUGGAAGUGACAAAUGACAAGUAACAAAAGUGUCUGAUUGCGGGGAGUAACAACUACCGGGACAAUUAAGUAAUAUAAAGUGAUGGAGAAGAAGGGGUAGGCUGGGCUCUUUCUGAGAAGGGUAGUCAAAAAGGAAGAGUUUGAGCAAACAUCUUUGUGAAGGAGAAGACCCUGUAAGGAUGUGCUGGUGAAGGGUGUUCUUAGGAGCAGCGGACACAGUCCUACAAAGGGACUACAAAGGCAUAUGUGGAACAAUAGAGAGAGGGGUAGCAGAUGCAAUUGGAGUAGUAGGUUAGGGCUGGACCUUGGAGAGCUUGAGAGGUCAUGCUGAGUCGUUUUCAUGGAUUCAUUCUAAGUGAGAUGGGAAGCCCAGUUAGAAGGUUAGCUCAUGUGCCGGGACCACCCUGCAGGCCUACCGGGGUUUACCCCGGAGAGACAUGGAAUUCUUCUGUAUAAUCGCUUCCUCCCCACAUCUUCACUUUUGAUUGAAGCCAGUCACCUACCUGGGGCCUCUUGUAUGAACUAAAGCCACCUCUGACCCAGAUUUUCAGAUUCAUUCCUAGCAUCACUCAGGCAGGCAUAUUUUAGGGAUACCUCAAGGAGAUUUCAUCUUUAGUCUUGCCAUGGCAACACCUUGCCCAAGCCGCUGGGAUGCUCGUGGACCAAACCAGGCCCUUCGGAUAUUGUGACUACAACUCAGUCCUCAUUCCAGGACCGUCUGGAUGCUUGGCCACCCACCUAAUGAUUGUUGACACAUCCUUGCAAGACAUGCCUACUCUGGUUUCUUUCCAGACAGAUCACGAUUAUUCUAUAAAGAAUGGCAAGGGCCCAGCCUUCUGGGGUAGGAUCCUUGGUUUAAGCCUCCAACAAGGAUUCUAGCUGUAAACAAUAGCACCCAGUUUUUUAUCUAUCUAGAUUUGGUCGUUUUGUUUUGGAAUCCACAUCACCUGACAUGACCUGUUUGCAUAUUGGCCCUGUUAGUGUUCACACUUAUUUCAGCCCUCUUUUUAUCUUAAGUGGUUUUUAGGUUAUGAGAUCCAAAUUUAGACUUGGUGAUAACACUUGGCUUCCAGUGGACUGGCACUGAGUGGAAGUCUGUAUGUUUUAGGAAGUACAGUAUUAGUUCAUUUUAAUCCUUUAAUCUUCCCGUAUGCCAGAUACUUGUCUGCUCUAACACCUACAUUUAGAGCAUUUUUUCUGUGACAUUUAAAAGCUAUACUGGAAACAUAUGGCACCAAUCAGGUAGAGUGAGUUAGCUUUGACUUUUAUUGCUUUUUUCGUUUUUUAACUGGUUUUUACCUACUUCCUGGAAAAUGUUGGCAGAGUUCACUUUUAAUGAUGUUUUUGAUAUGCCAUUUGCUUUUAGGUGUUAAUUCUGUGAUCAUUCUUGUUUUGAGCUACUCUGGACAGCUGGCUCUGGUGGUUUCAUGGGGACACGCUCGUGGGUUGAUGAUACCCUAAAUAUGUGCACAGCAGGGGGAGAGUGAUCUUCAUUAUCUGAGGUCCUGCAAUUGUGAGGAUUUAGUAGGGAAGUAGGUGCUAUAACCAUAUUCACUAAUGAACUAACCACUUCUAUAAUCUCUCCUUGCUUAUUAUCUUUCGAUACUUACUACUAGGGACUGCUCCUCCCUCCAUUUCAUUCAACAUUGAAAAAUGUACAUUUUGCAAAAGAUGCAGGAUUUCAUAAAUCCGGUGAACAUGAUGUUGAAGAAUUGCUGGGAUUCCCAAGUAGCCCAUGCCUAGUAUAGAUCUAGCAGAUGAAGAUGAGUCAACUGUUGAAGAAACAAAUCAAAAACGAUGACUCCUGAGGCUGCUGGGUGGCUCAGUUGGUUGAGUGGCCACCUCCUGAUUUCAGCUCAGGUCAUGAUCUCAGUCUCAGGGUUGUGAGAUCGAGCCCUGCCUCAGGCUCCCUGCGCAGCUCAGAGUCUGCUUGAGAUUCUCUCCCUCUCCCUCUGCCCUUCCCCCUACUCAUGUGCGCAUUAUCUCAAACAAAUCUUUUUUUUCUUAAGAUUUUAUUUAUUCAUCCAUGAGAUACAGAGAGAGAGAGAGAGAGAGAGAGAGGCAGAGGGAGAAGCAGGCUCCAUGCAGGGAGCCGGACGUGAAACUCGAUCCCGGGUCUCCAGGAUCAGGCCCUGGGCUGAAGGUGGCGCUAACCCGCUGAGGCACCCGGGCUGCCCCACAAAUCUUAAGAAAAAAAAA